rnacentral:rRNA from 1 species
GUGUUGUUUGUUAAGGGCACACGGUGGAUGCCUUGGCAUUAUGAGCCGAUGAAGGACGUGUAAGGCCGCGAUAGGCCUCGGGGAGUUGCCAAUAGAGCGUUGAUCCGAGGGUGUCCGAAUGGGGAAACCUGGCCAUGGUUAUGUGUGGUUACCCAUCAGUGAAUUCAUAGCUGGUGUGGGGGUGACGCGGGGAAGUGAAACAUCUCAGUACCCGUAGGAGAAGAAAAUAAUUAAUGAUUCUGCUAGUAGUGGCGAACGAACGUGGAUGAGGCUAAACCGUAUGCGUGUGAUACCUGGCAGGGGUUGCGUGUGUGGUGUUGUGGGGCGUUGUUGGAGGAGGCUGCCGGCUCCUCGCUUGUUAUAUGUGUGUGUUAGCGGAAGUGGUUUGGAAUGGCCUGCCGUAGUGGGUGAGAGUCCCGUACGUGAAAACAUGUGCAUGCGAGUGGAUGAUGUUCCCGAGUAGCAGCGGGCUCGUGGAAUCUGCUGUGAAUCUGCCGGGACCACCCGGUAAGCCUAAAUACUUAUGAUGACCGAUAGCGGAUUAGUACCGUGAGGGAAUGGUGAAAAGUACCCCGGGAGGGGAGUGAAAUAGUACCUGAAACCGUGUGCUUACAAUCCGUCAGAGCCUUGUUUGUUAGGUGAUGGCGUGCCUUUUGAAGAAUGAGCCUGCGAGUCAGCGGCAUGUCGCGAGGUUAACCCGUGUGGGGUAGUCGUAGCGAAAGCGAAUCCUAAUGAGGGUGUUUUUAAGUGGCAUGUCCUGGACCCGAAGCGGGGUGAUCUACCCAUGGCCAGUGUGAAGCAGCUGUAAGAGGUUGUGGAGGCGCGAACCCACUUAGGUUGAAAACUGAGGGGAUGAGCUGUGGGUAGGGGUGAAAGGCCAAUCAAACUCCGUGAUAGCUGGUUCUCCCCGAAAUGCAUUUAGGUGCAGCGUUGUGUGUUUCUUGCUGGAGGUAGAGCUACUGGUUGGUUGAGCGGGACUACAAUCUUAGCAAUGUCAGCCAAACUCCGAAUGCCGGUAAUGUUAAGCAUGGCAGUGAGACUGCGGGGGAUAAGCUCCGUUGGUCGAGAGGGAAACAGCCCAGAUCGCCGGUUAAGGCCCCUAAGGGUGUACUAAGUGGAAAAGGAUGUGGGAUCGCGAAGACAGCCAGGAGGUUGGCUUAGAAGCAGCCAUCCUUGAAAGAGUGCGUAAUAGCUCACUGGUCGAGUGGUUCUGCGCCGACAAUGUAGUGGGGCUCAAGUACACCGCCGAAGCCGCGGCAGUCAGCAAUUUUUUUGUUGGUUGGGUAGGGGAGCGUCGUGCACUGCUGUGAAGCACCUGGGUGACUUGAUGGUGUGGAGUGUGUGCGAGUGAGAAUGCAGGCAUGAGUAACGAAUGAAAAGUGGAAAACUUUUCCGCCGGAUGACUAAGGGUUCCUGGGUUAAGCUAAUCUUCCCAGGGUGAGUCGGGACCUAAGGCGAGGCCGACAGGCGUAGUCGAUGGAUAACCAGUUGAUAUUCUGGUACCCGUGUAUGUGCGCCCAGUGGUGAAUCAGUGGUACUAACCAUCCAUUGAUCUGCUGGUCAUGCUUUGUGUGUGGUUGGUGGUGAUGUGCGUGGGAUCUUCGUUGGUAGUAGCCAAGUGAUGGGGUGACGCAGUGAGGUAGCUGAGCCAUUUAUUGGAUUGUGGUGUAAGCGUGUGGCCCGUGGCAUAGGUAAAUCCGUGUUACAUAGUGGGUGAGGCGUGAUGCGUAGACCUUUGUGGUUGAUGUUGGUGAUCCUGUACUGUCGAGAAAAGCCUCUAGCGAGUGCAUAUAUGGCCCGUACCCAUAACCGACACAGGUGGUCAGGUAGAGAAUACUAAGGCGAUCGGGUGAACUGUGGUUAAGGAACUCGGCAAAUUGCCCCCGUAACUUCGGGAGAAGGGGGACCAUUGCUGGUGACCGACGUGGUUGAGCUGGUGGUGGUCGCAGAGAAUAGAGGGAAGCGACUGUUUAUUAAAAACACAGGUCCGUGCGAAAACGUGGAAGUUGAUGUAUACGGACUGACGCCUGCCCGGUGCUGGAAGGUUAAGAGGACCUGUUAGGGCAUUUUUUGUCCGAAGCGGAGAAUUUAAGCCCCAGUAAACGGCGGUGGUAACUAUAACCAUCCUAAGGUAGCGAAAUUCCUUGUCGGGUAAGUUCCGACCUGCACGAAUGGCGUAACGACUUCCCUGCUGUCUCAACCACAGGCCCGGUGAAAUUGCAGUACGAGUAAAGAUGCUCGUUACGCGCGGCAGGACGAAAAGACCCCGGGACCUUCACUAUAGCUUGGUAUUGGUGUUUGGUUCGGUUUGUGUAGGAUAGGUGGGAGACUGUGAAGUGGUCACGCUAGUGGUUGUGGAGUCGAAAGUUGAAAUACCACUCUGAUCGGAUUGAGCACCU